CAUAUACGAGUAUAUGUGUAAAAACGAUGAGGAUGAAGAAAUCGUACAAAUUUUUCGGCAUAAAGUAUAACGUAAAAAUAAAGAUAGGAAUAACUGUUGGAAAAGUAAUGACAGUUGGUGUGACUUUCAGGAUUGAGUGUUGAUUGAAUUUAUGUUUACAUCCGACCGAAGGCUUUCUUUCAUAAUUUAUUUUUUUACCAUACAUUUUUGUUUUUUAGUUUGAAAUUUGAAUGCAACAUGACUUGAGUUACACAUGACACACAAGAGAUAUCUCUAUGUUAAAGGCGAAUUCGUUUCAACUUUGUUCUGAACUGCAAAGUUUUCAAAUCAACCAAACGAAGUUUUCAUCAUUUGAACUAAAAUAAGAAAGAAAGAACGGUUCGAGCAGAGACAACAGUCCAGCAUUUUGGGAAUAGAGUUUGAUGCAGGUGAAUGUGUAUUUAAAUGUACUUUAACUACGUGAAUAUGUAUAUGUAAAAGAAAACAAAACAAAACAAAAAAAUGGAAAAAAGAAAAUAGUUUUAAACAAAGCAAACUCAGGGCAUUAUCAAGACUCACGACGAUGUAUACAUGCAUUUAAUACAACAAACAAAAGAAAAGAAAAGAAAAACCAACUUUUUCGAUAUGUAUUACAAUUAUAUUGGUAAUGAAAAACCAAUGAAUAAGGAUGUAAUAAUCAUGCAAAAACGAUUAUGAACAACUCAGGUAUUUAAUAUUAAUGGAAAUAUUUUUAAAAACUUAAAAAACGAAAUGAGAAACGGCAGUCAAGUCAACAUUUUCACACGUUGUGCAAUAUUCUUAAAGUUUUCUAAAUACGUAAUAGUAUUAAUACUCUUAAAAACAAAAAAGGUUGAUCAGUUGAGAGUUGAGAUGUUCAUAAGGAAGGGAAGGCAAAGGCAAAGGCAAAGGCAUGGCAUGGGAAGCGUGAGGAUAGGAGGUGAGUUUUUGAAGCACAUGAAGACUAGGCAUGUACUUACUACUCUUUUAGUAUUUUGUUUUUACCACCCACACAACAACAACCACAAAAACUACUACAAAGAACAACCAUUACAACCAACACACAGAUACACCAGACACACACACAAACAGAUAAAUACGCACACACACAUAACACACGAAAAAUAGUAAAAUAAAUAGCUAAAUGAAAAUGAGUUUAUAUAAAGAAGGAAAACAUAAAACUGUGAUUACAUUUGAUUGUCUUGUCGAAAGCGUUUGAUAAGCGAAUGUUGCAUAAUUAUUGAUCGAAAAAAAUUUAAGAAAAUGGGAAAUACGAAAUAUGAAUGGAAUGGAAUUUUCUGAAACCGCUUUUGAGUUCGAGUAUUGGCAUAUGUACAUGUACGUACCGGUCUGUCGAGAGUGCGACAGAGCAUAAGUAAAUAAAUAUUUAAUUAGCCGAAAUAUUAAACUUCAAAAGAUCUUCUAAGGAAAAUACAAAUUACAUAUAAUUAUCUAAGUUAUUUGGGAUUAUAUUAGUGAUGCCUAACUCUUAUUUUACAAUACCUUAACAGCCCAAUCCAGGCUGAAAACUGAAGACAAAGCAACCCUUUGAUUUAGUUCUGCAUUUCACUGAUCGAUUUUCUGUAUGUAGUGCGCUUUUGUUAAAAAUUAAAGUCUGAGAUUUUACAUUUGCAUAUGUAAAUAUGUAAAUGGUUAAGGUAUACACCUAUUGAAGAAGGAAAUCUAACGAUUAAUUAAGUUUAUUGAACUACAGAAAACCCACAAACACACACACAAUCGUAUAUGAAUUUGACUAUGGCUAUGUAUGUAUGUAAAAAUCAAGAAAAGUAAUGUAGAUGGAGAUGGAAUGGAAUGGAAAAGGAAAGGAAUGAAAACUAUGCUAUACUACAAUUUUCACACCAGACAUUUGAUUUCUAUAUAUAAAUGUAUGAAUAUCUAAAGAAAACGCAAGCGAGACAUUUAAGUAACAGCUUGAAUAUAUUUUAAACACAAAUUCGGGUUAAAAAUUUACGAUUAUGCCAUACAUUUUUGUGUAACAUAUAAAAAAACUACGAGUAAGCUAAAAGAACAACAGUCACGGAAAAGCAAACAAACACAUUGUCACAGAAACUCACAGAAAGCAUGAAGACGGAAAUGGAAAACUGAAUGAAAUUAAGCAUUAAAAGUAUAUGAACGAACCUAAAUUCAAUAAACUUGUUGC
rnacentral:lncRNA from 1 species